rnacentral:lncRNA from 1 species
AAAUACAUACAAAAUGAUUCCACCCGUACUUACCCUGACCCAGCUACAGAAACCCUUCUACAAAAUCACCAUGUUUACAGGUCCAUGAAUAGAUCCAAUUCUUUUGUCUUCUUCCUCGCUGCAUGCACAAGGCUAUGAUCAGCCAUUUCCUGGCCACCCUUAUUCAGCACCUACCAGACACCACCAACAUCUAUUUCGCUCCAAUUGUAGUCAGGUGACACGACGGAAGCAUAAUCCCGGAACAUCUCGAACCCAUUGUUAAAACAUUCAACCAGUUCAUGGUUAAAUUCUUCAGAUUCAGUGAAUUUUUGGACAACAUCUUUCUUUGUUUCUUCCAAUUGUAAGGUCAACGAGGCUAACUUCGCGCUUCGACUUUGGGCUUUCAUUGUUUGCUUAACUUCUCUAGCAAAUGCUUUGUUCAGCUUGUUCGUCAAGUUGCCCAUCACCUGGCCAUGAAUAUCGCAUUUGGUUCCCCACCAAUCCGUUGCCGUACACAAAUAUUGGAGGUGAUACUUCACUUCAGCUAUCUUUAGCGGAUCAAUGUUGUCAGCCUCACUUUCGGAUGACGUGGGAUCGUUAUUUGGAGUCCCAGGUGGAGAUGGGAAAGGGGCAUGCCAUGGCUGGUCUCCUGGGUAACUAACAACCUCGUUUGGAGGGAUUACGUC